AACGUAGGUGGCGAGCGUUAUCCGGAUUUACUGGGCGUAAAGGGCGCGUAGGCGGCCCGUCAAGUCCCGUGUGAAAGCCCCCGGCUCAACCGGGGAACGGCGCGGGAAACUAGCAGGCUUGAGUUCGGGAGAGGGAAGCGGAAUUCCGGGUGUAGCGGUGAAAUGCGUAGAUAUCUGGAGGAACACCGGAGGCGAAGGCGAAUCACUGGACCGCUUCUGACGCUGAGGCGCGAAAGCUAGGGGAGCAAACAGG
rnacentral:rRNA from 1 species